UCUCUCUCUCUCUCUCUCUCACACAUCCGGAUCUAAAACCACCAUAACCACACACAGCAGCUCUGCCCUAGGUAUGGAGGAGCUUCUUAUCCGGUGGCUGCACCGGUCCCGAUUCUUCACUGAGAGUCUCCAACUCCGCCCACCGAGCCCAAUCGACCUGAUCCAUCUGGCUCUUUGAGAUCGAGAUAAACCCCCCCGUUCUCGAGACUCGAUCCCUGGUGGCCAGUAUGGAGGACAACGCGUCGAGCCCAACACGGCGUUAUUUAAUCUCGUCCUCAAGGCUAUGCACGGCGGCAAAGAGUCCGAAGCCGCUAAUGUUGAGUACAGUGAGUCAGUGGCUGAUUGAUCUUGGAACUCCAGGGUGGUUAAGAGAUUUAAGUUUGAAGAGCCACGAAUAGAACAGAUUCAAGAUCUUGAGAUUUGUAUUUGUACAGAUCUUGAAGUUGAAAUGGCCUCUGCUGCUUCGGCUUCAAGCACUAGGUGCUUAGUUCGUUCACGCCUCCCACUCGGCGAAUGUCAGCAUCAUCGUAAUAACGGGAUUGCACUGCUUCCCCAGUUACCCAAACCCCUCAUCUCUCUUUCUUCUUCUUCCAAAGCUGCUGCAAUUGCAAUUGCAAUUUCAACUGCAACUGCAAGUGAGAGGAAGGAGCGUUCCUCUUUUGCUCGAACUGCGGCUGUUCGGCAUCUGGUGGGUUCCGUUACCACAGCUCACGGCCUUCGUUUCGCAGUGGUUGUAGCACGGUUUAAUGAGAUUGUCACAAAGCCAUUGCUAGAGGGAGCCUUAACUACUUUCAACAAUUAUUCUGUUCAAGAAGAGGACAUUGAUGUGGUAUGGGUUCCUGGUAGCUUUGAGAUUGGUGUAGUUGCACAGAGGCUUGGAAGUUCGGGGAGAUAUCAUGCAGUUUUAUGCAUUGGAGCUGUGAUAAGAGGUGAUACAACCCACUACGAUGCUGUUGCUAAUUCAGCUGCAUCCGGAGUGCUUUCAGCUGGUUUAAAAUCAGAUGUUCCAUGCAUAUUCGGUGUCUUAACUUGUGAUAAUAUGGAGCAGGCUUUAAAUCGAGCUGGUGGUAAAUCUGGAAAUAAGGGUGUAGAGACUGCCUUGACAGCUAAUUAUAUGAUGAAGUACUUCAAAGAGGAUGAAUGAGUAUAGCUUUAUGGAUUUCUGCUUUUAAUUUGCCUUUCGAAGGGCCUGUUAGACCUUCCAAUAAAGAAAUUCGUUUCAGAACUUUAUGUUUCAAUAUUUGGUUGUUGUAGUGCUACUGGUGUCCCAGAAGUGUAAGCAUUUCUACACAUAAAAAGAUAUGAUGCAAUAUGUAGAAUAUGCUCAGAAAAACCAGCUUUCGAUCUACUCACCAGAUUUUCAGACCAAGGAGGAGUCACUUUUUGGGGGAGAGUUCAAAGACACUGCCCUCUUAUCGGGGCUUCUCUAGUGCAAAGUUGGAAGAUCUCAAGACUUUUUAGACAAUAUGAAAACAAUGUGAACUAUCCCAAUGAUUUCUUCAAUCUUGCAGCGCACCCAAUUCGCACCUGUUUGUGGUAGAUGCAGUGACUGCAGCAAUUGUGAACAAAACUAAAAUAGUAAUUGCUAGGCUAGCCUUGUAGUAGGUUAAUUGGGGUUUGUAUUUGGCCUAUUUUGUAAACUGUCAAGGAUAAUGAUUUUGGUCAUAAUACGCCAAUAUUCAAAUUACUAUGUAAAUAUGG